rnacentral:rRNA from 1 species
AGGGUUUGAUCCUGGCUCAGAUUGAACGCUGGUGGCAUGCCUUACACAUGCAAGUCGAACGGCAGCACGGGAGCUUGCUCCUGGUGGCGAGUGGCGAACGGGUGAGUAACAUAUCGGAACGUGCCCUAGAGUGGGGGAUAACUAGUCGAAAGAUUAGCUAAUACCGCAUACGAUCUAAGGAUGAAAGUGGGGGAUCGCAAGACCUCAUGCUCGUGGAGCGGCCGAUAUCUGAUUAGCUAGUUGGUGAGGUAAAGGCUCACCAAGGCGACGAUCAGUAGCUGGUCUGAGAGGACGACCAGCCACACUGGAACUGAGACACGGUCCAGACUCCUACGGGAGGCAGCAGUGGGGAAUUUUGGACAAUGGGCGCAAGCCUGAUCCAGCAAUGCCGCGUGAGUGAAGAAGGCCUUCGGGUUGUAAAGCUCUUUUGUCAGGGAAGAAACGGUUCUGGUUAAUACCCGGGGCUAAUGACGGUACCUGAAGAAUAAGCACCGGCUAACUACGUGCCAGCAGCCGCGGUAAUACGUAGGGUGCAAGCGUUAAUCGGAAUUACUGGGCGUAAAGCGUGCGCAGGCGGUUGUACAAGACAGAUGUGAAAUCCCC